AUACGUAGGGGGCGAGCGUUGUCCGGAAUGAUUGGGCGUAAAGGGCGCGUAGGCGGCCCGGUAAGUCUGGAGUGAAAGUCCUGUUUUUAAGAUGGGAAUUGCUUUGGAUACUGUCGGGCUUGAGUGCAGGAGAGGUAAGUGGAAUUCCCAGUGUAGCGGUGAAAUGCGUAGAGAUUAGGAGGAACACCAGUGGCGAAGGCGACUUACUGGACUGUAACUGACGCUGAGGCGCGAAAGUGUGGGGAGCAAACAGGAUUAGAUACCCUGGUAGUCCACACUGUAAACGAUGAAUGCUAGGUGUAGGGGGUAUCGACCCCUUCUGUGCCGCAGUCAACACAAUAAGCAUUCCGCCUGGGGAGUACGGCCGCAAGGUUGAAACUCAAAUGAAUUGACGGGG
rnacentral:rRNA from 1 species